rnacentral:misc_RNA from 1 species
GAACGCACCUUGCGCCCUUUGGUAUUCCGAGGAGCAUGCCUGUUUGAGUGUCAUUAAAUUCUCAACCUCACCCGUUUUCUGAACGGUUCUCCGAGGCUUGGAUGUGGGGGUUUGUGCAGGCUGCCUCAGUGCGGUCUGCUCCCCUGAAAUGUAUUAGCGAGAUUCAUAUCUGAACCUCCGUCUAUCGGUGUGAUAAUUAUCUACGUCGUUGACUUGGUUCGGACUCGCUUCUAACCGUCCGCGAGGACAACAUUACUUGACAAUUUGACCUCAAAUCAGGUAGGACUACCCGCUGAACUUAAG